rnacentral:rRNA from 1 species
GAUGAACGCUAGCGGCAGGCCUAACACAUGCAAGUCGAGGGAGAAGCCCUUUCGGGGGCAGAAACCGGCGCACGGGUGCGUAACGCGUAUGCAACCUACCUUUCACAGGGGGAUAGCCCGAAGAAAUUUGGAUUAAUACCCCAUAAUAUUAUUGGAUGGCAUCAUUUGAUAAUUAAAACUGCGGUGGUGAAAGAUGGGCAUGCGUCCUAUUAGCUAGUUGGAGUGGUAACGGCACCCCAAGGCUACGAUAGGUAGGGGUCCUGAGAGGGAGAUCCCCCACACUGGUACUGAGACAGGGACCAGACUCCUACGGGAGGCAGCAGUGAGGAAUAUUGGUCAAUGGUCGGAAGACUGAACCAGCCAUGCCGCGUGCAGGAAGAAUGCCUUAUGGGUUGUAAACUGCUUUUAGAUGGGAAGAAUAAGGCGUACGUGUACGUUGAUGACGGUACCAGAUGAAUAAGCAUCGGCUAACUCCGUG